rnacentral:lncRNA from 1 species
UUCUUCAACUCGGUUUCUGCAUCUUCCCUUUGCAUGGAUGCCUCUGUGCUGUUCCAUCUGGCCAGCACGGGAGCCCGAACCAGAUGCUCCUGCAAACUUCUAGCAGCCGCAACAUGAUUUUUGUAUGAAACAGCCUGUUAAAUUAAAAGAUAAUAUAUUUUAAAGAUGAAAAAAUAAAAAUAAAAAGAGUUGUAGGGGCAGGAUUAGGGAGAAUAAACAGGAGAAUAUCUUUAGGCAUUCUAUACUAAUCAUAUAAUUCUAUUUUGCUGCAUGUAAUACUUGAAUUCAAAAUCCAAAACCAAAAGGCAACACGAAACAAUACAACAAUGUCAAAUGUCUAUCUAAAACCGAUAAUAUCUUGAAUCACAACGCAAUAAGCAUGACUCCAGCCCUUCAAACAUUGAGCAACCGUGCCACAGAGCAUAGAUAAAAUUCAAGCCCAGCAGAUAUCUUUCAUCAACAAUAAAAACUUAUCAAACAAAGCAAUUGGGUCAGUACAGUUCUCGAGAUGAAUGAGAAAGAGCAUAAUCUUGUUAAAAGUACUGAUUCUCAUGGUGUAUACACCAAUUCAAACUGUGCUGAAUUAUUCUAAGUACCCUGAAUAAGUUUCCUAUCUCAAAACUAUUACAUCAAUGCAACUCCAAAAUUAAUUCAAAAAACAAUACCCCAAAAUGGAAAAGGAAAAAAAAUGAAAAAGUUAAUUCAAAAUUAUGGUUGUAAUAGAAUUAUCAUAAUAAAACCUUUACAAUCAGUUAAGAAUUUAGAACAGAAAAAAGGGAAAAUCAAAAGAAAAGUCCUGAGAGAAAAGGCAAUGAUAAUCCAUGAUGAUGAACUAUAUGCGCUAGUCAACAAAGCAAGAAACAGAAAAUUCUGGAGUAAAUAACAAGCGGAUUCAACAGAAAACAAAUAAAAAAGACACCAUUUGAAAGAAAAUGAACUGGGUAUUCCUGGGAAUGGAUCAAAAAGAAUAAAAAAAUAAAACACAACCCAUGAAGAUGAACUGCUUUAUGCAAAGCAAGAAACACAAAAUUUUGGAGUAAAUAAUAAAUGGGUUCAUGAGAAAACACAUGAAAAACACAUCACUUGAAGAAACAUGAACUGGGUAUUCCUCAGAAUGGAUCAAAACAGAAGCCUUAGAAUUAAUAAAUAAAUAAACACAACCCCAUGAUGAUGAAAUGCUUUAUGCAACCACCAAAGCAAGAAACACAAAAUUUUGGAGUGAAUAAUAAAUGGGUUCAUGAGAAAACACAUGAAAAGGACAUCACUUGAAGAACGAUGAAUUGGAUAAUCCUGAGAAUGGAUCAAAACAGCAAUCUCAGAAUAAUAAAAAAAGCACAACCCAUGAUGAAUAAUUGAUUUAUGCAAUAACCAAAGAAAGAAACAAAAAAAAUAGAGAAAAUAACAAGUGGGUUCAUCAGAUAACACAUGAAAACGACAUCACUUGAAGAAAGUUGAACUGGGUGUUCCUCAGAAUGGAUCAAAACAGCAAUCUCUGAAUAAAAAAUAAGCACAACCCAUGAUGAUCAACUGAUUUAUGCAACAACCAAAGCAGGAAACACAAAAUUCUGAAGAAAAUAACAAAUGGGCUCAUCAGAAAACACAUGAAAAAGACAUCAUUUAAGGAAAAAAUAAACAGGAUGAUAAAAAAAAAAUAGUGUAGAAACCUGAGUGUUCCUGAGAGUGGAUCUAACGAGGUUUCUAAAAAUCAUUUUCUAUUUUUUCCCUUAUCUUCAAAGAUGAUGCAAGUUGCUAUCUUCACUCUCCUCGGUCUGCACUCAACUACAGAAGAGACAGAGGAAUAGAG